GACGAACGCUGGCGGCGUGCUUAACACAUGCAAGUCGAACGGAAAGGCCCUGCUUUUGUGGGGUGCUCGAGUGGCGAACGGGUGAGUAACACGUGAGUAACCUGCCCUUGACUUUGGGAUAACUUCAGGAAACUGGGGCCAAUAUCGGAUAGGAGCUCCUGCUGCAUGGUGGGGGUUGGAACGUUCCGGCGGUUGGGGAUGGACGCGCGGCUUAUCAGCUUGUUGGUGGGGUAGUGGCUUACCAAGGCUUUGACGGGUAGCCGGCCUGGGAGGGUGACCGGCCACAUGGGGACUAAGAGACGGCCCAGACUCCUACGGGAGGCAGCAGUGGGGAGUAUUGCACAAUGGGCGGACGCGUAAUGCAGCAGCGCCGCGUGCGGGAUGACGGCCUUCGGGUUGUAAACCGCUUUCGCCUGUGGCGAAGCGUGAGUGACGGUAAUGGGUGAAGAAGCACCGGCUAACUACGUG
rnacentral:rRNA from 1 species